GACGAACGCUGGCGGCGUGCUUAACACAUGCAAGUCGAACGAAGAGCGAUGGAACCUUGCUUCUAUCAAUCUUAGUGGCGAACGGGUGAGUAACGCGUAAUCAACCUGCCCUUCAGAGGGGGACAACAGUUGGAAACGACUGCUAAUACCGCAUACGAUCUAAACUCGGCAUCGAGGAUAGAUGAAAGGAGGCCUCUACAUGUAAGCUAUCACCGAAGGAGGGGAAUGCGUCUGAUUAGCUCGGUGGAGGGGUAACGGCCCACCAAGGCGAUGGGCAGUAGCCGGUCUGAGAGGAUGAACGGCCACAUUGGGACUGAGACACGGCCCAGACGCCUACGGGAGGCAGCAGUGGUGAAUCUUCCGCAAUGGACGAAAGUCUGACGGAGCAACGCCGCGUGAGUGAUGACGGCCGUCGGGUUGUAAAGCUCUGUUAAUCGGGACGAAAGGCCUUCUUGCGAAUAGUGAGAAGGAUUGACGGUACCGGAAGAGAAAGCCACGGCUAACUACGUG
rnacentral:rRNA from 1 species